AGAUUGAACGCUAGCGGCAUGCCUAACACAUGCAAGUCGAACGGUAACAGGCCCUCGGGUGGCUGACGAGUGGCGGACGGGUGGAGUAAGGCGAUCGGAAGUACUGCCCUCGAUGUGGGGGAGUAACGUAGGGAAACUUACGCUAAUACCGCAUACGACCGAGAGGUGAAAGCGGGGACCGAAGGACCUCGCGCAGCAGGAUGAGCCGAUGUCCGAUUAGCUGGUUGGUGGGGUAAACGGCCGUACCAAGCGACGAUCGGUAGCUGGUCUGAGAGGGAUGAUCAGCCACACUGGGACUGAGACACGGCCCAGGACUCCUACGGGAGGCGAGC
rnacentral:rRNA from 1 species